UGACUUCAGGAUUUGCAUUUCUUUAUUUUCUAGAAACAACAUUAUCCUGAGAUAGCAGAAUCUGGUGAAGUUAAGGGUAAAGGCUCUGAACUGAACAGAAAAGUUAAGCAACUUGCAUUAACAAUUGAGAAGAAAGAAGGACGAAAACAAAUAAAGAUUGUUACAGAUGCUCCAGUAAUGAAGAGAUGGCAAGAACGUAAGUGUGCUCAGUGGGAUGUAAAUUGUACGUUUCUAAUUUGGGUAAAUUCCCUUUGAUCUAAAUCAGCUUGAUUUAAUGCAUGUUUUUAGGUCCUGAUGCAGAUGACAGCCCUUCAAAGGCUAAAGUUCAGCAUGUGGAUACAUCACGUAGUAAUGAAGAAAUAAAAGGCUGUAAAAUUAAGGAUGGAAGAAUGCCAGACCCUAUUCUAGAUUAAAGGAAUGUUCAAGAGCAGCAGGAAAAAAAGUCAGAAAGAACAGGCAAAACCAGACGAGAAGUUUGAACCUAAUAAAGAUAUUGAAAGCAGCAAAGGCAACACAGAUGAAGAGGGCAGCAAAGGGUACAACUCAGAAAAGUGUGAGACCACUAAACUGUGGCAGGAAGACAAUGAGGAAGUUGAGGUAAUAAUUACAGCAAAUCCUGAAGAAUUCAUUAGUCAAGAAGACCUAUUGAGUUAUUUGCAAAGUUUUGAGAUCCUGAAUGAAGAUGAUGCUUCAUUUAUCCUUAAAGUUACACAGACUCUUACAGAUGCACUGGUGGAAUAUCAUCAGCAGGCUACAUGGAACAAAGUAAAGUGGAUUUUAGUUUGGUUUUGUUCUACUAAUCCGUAGAUUUCU